GCGGUUUGUUUUUUUUUCACAUAACUUAAAUAUUAACUUUGAAAUGCAACCAAUUAGAUUUCUGAAAAAAAUUAUAGACAGUGUCCUCCAUUUAUACCCGGUACUCGAAGAGCAAAUAGGGAAUAUUGUAUUUGUGGGGAAUAACGGAUGUUUGUAACGCACAGAAGAAAACGUUUCCGACCCCAUAGAGUAUAUGUAUUCUUGAUCAGCAUCAAUAGCCGAGUCGAUUGAGCUAUGUCUGCCUGUCCGUCCGUCUGUCCGUCCUUAUGAGCGCCAACCAAGUUUUGAAUCCAGAAUUAAGUUUGCUUACACUGUUACAAAUGUAUUUAAAAAAUGAGCUCCGCCCCCACAAAGAGCGAAAAUCUCCCACAGCCACAAUUUUGAAGAUAAUAGAAAACUAAAACGCCAUUCCGAAGGGAAUGACCAUAUCUAUAAGAAUAACCGAAUUGGGAACAGAUUGGAUCAUUAUUCUAUCCAGAAUGAAGAAAUUAAUUUGAAGCCGACUGAAUUUGAAUUGUGAAGCCGACUUCAGGGCAGAAAACGAGAACAAAAGUUGAUCAGAAACUUGAUCCCAUGCAAGUCCCAAUGAUUUGGUAAAAUCGCUGCCGUCGUCGAACUUCAAAUAUGUUUCCUUGUCAUCCUCGGGAUCUCCAUCGAGCACAGCAGGCACGUUCGAGCACCAUUUCUUCAAUCGGUACUGACCACCUGACAAAAUCCCAGCAGUUUGCUCACGUAUGCAGACAGCUUCUUCCGAAGAACUGGCCCCAGAUAUAAGGUGAUCGACGUAAAAGUCCCGGCGCAUAGUUGCAGCCCCAACAGGAAACGAUAUAUUUGCCAGCUGAUGCAUCGCCCGCACAAAUAAGUAAGAAGCAGGCUUCGUCCCAUAAGUAACAGUGUCCAGCUUAAACAUACGAAAAUCCUCUUGCACGGAACUCCUCCACAGAAUGCACUGCAAGCGGUACGCAGUGGUACACCUUGAAAAUAUCCCCUGUAAUCGCGACUGCGUACGACAGAAACCGAGCAAGAAUGUGAAAAGCUUGGGUUGAAUGACGGGGCCAGCUAUUAAAACGAAGUUCAGGGAAUAGCCAUCAAACAGUACUCUAAGCUUGGUCGUUGAGAUAUCUUCCUACACAAAGCAGUGGUAAGGCAAUAAUCAAGCAAUGCUCGGCAGGAAACCAACACUCCUCAACGAUUUUUCACCAAGACUGUUGCCGUGGCUAGAACAAAUUCAUUAUCGAGACCCUGGGCAAUAAGGGCUGAAGAAGUACAUACAUGCUGAGUAAGAGUGAGCAGUGGUAUAAGUAGUCACCGUGGACGCUGAUGCAGAGGAGGCAGUGAUAGCCGGAAACGGUUCAGACGAAUGGGCAGUAUCAAGCGGGCUGGUUAUUUCUUUUACUUCUGCUUACCAUAUCUAAAUCCACUGUUUCCAAGGUCCUACAUCGCCUCUCCAAAACCGACGCUAUGGAUUCCCACGACGGCAUAAGAUUGACGAAUGCCUGGUCCUCCAAGCGGUUCUCCCACUUGGCUUGAGGCUCUGGAUAAAAAUUCCGUAGAAGAACCUGUACGAUGAUGCAUCCCGCGAUCUGCUCAAGAGUGCCCAAACCUUGCAGCGCUCGAAUGUGAGAGUUGAACUUGUCCGAAAUCUCCCGAAGUAUGGACACAACCAUUUUCCACAGCUUGAAGCACCAGGAUCUCAGUAAUGUGCUCCUGAAAAACUAAACGUGAUGAGCACAUCACGAUUGAACAUUUCUCCAACCAAGGCGAUGAGGUAGUUGCAGUCAGAGAUUUCCAGCGACCUAACUGUCUCCUAAGUCAAAUCACGCAGGCAAUAACGUAGAUGAUGGAACUUUUCUAUGUUGGUAAGGUCGGGAUGACUUUCGAUGAUGGUGGUGAACAUUGAGUAAAAAUCCGUCCAAUCAGCAUAUCCGUCAGCAGUUACAUGUGCCCCUGCAUAGGUAGAAUGCAAAGGCAUUUAACCGCUCCACUUCCUCCAGCUGAUUGUACAACUUCUCUAAUUGCCCGCUCAGCUUCUCGAACUUCUCUAGUUAUACGACUAAUAUGUAUUAAUCGAAAACCGCAGACUCAUCCUUUCAGGCAGCAGUCAUCCGUCCGUCAUCUUCUGGCACAAUUCCGUCGACUUCAGAUUUAAAAAAGUCAACAUGUUUUGCUCCCUGGUCACUGGCCUGUCGAUGGUAUCAUCCAUCGCAGCAGCGGCGCUAGAUACGUUCGUAGCGGGAAAAUUAGCACAAAGCGUAACGCGCGCAACAACGGGAAGACCGAAAAACGCAAUAGUUCAUGCACAAAUCACGUCGGGGUCACCAAUGCUGAGCUACUGAGCGUUUUUAGUGGCUGUUUACAAUGUACAAUUUAUUAGGCGAUAUUACGCGUAUAUGUACAUAUAUGGGAAAUUUUUAAGGGCUAUGGAGGCCGCUGGCUAUGGAUAGGCGGCGGUCAGAAAAGACCGUGCCCUAUGCAUUAAAUUAAACGAGAGAGAGAGUUAUAGAUCGGUGGAGCGUGAGAGAAUUUCUUAGAUACAGCAGCUCCAGUAUAAAGAGACAGCCGCGGUUCAUAUAGAAAAACGAACGCAGCUGACGUUCGUAAGUGAAUAACUAUAACUAUUUAUACUUCUAUGGUAAGUACUUCACCCGACACUUACCUUUAAAAUUGUGGUUUGGAAGAUUUUCGCACUAAGUGGUGUAGGAAGGGGGCAAUGCGAAAUGUUGAAAUACACUUGUAACAGUGUGAUAUUACUUGAGUCCUCACACGACAUUUGGUGGCUCUAGCUCUUAUAGUCUCUGAUGGCGGACGGACGGAUAGGCAGACAUACAGUGGGGAGCAAUGAUGAGUACAUGUUCACAAUAAUUGACACACCAAUUUUAGUUCGUGUAUUAAUAACUGUAUUCUUAGUAAACAGGCAAUGAAAACAAAAAGAAAUGAAAAGCUUUAAUAGAGCGAAAAAGGACAAGCCAAAACAACGCGCAUGAACUCAUUUAUGCACUUUUCGUUAUUUUAUAUUUAUACAUUUUCUAAUCAACAAUAUGCUCACAGAAUUUACGUUAAAUAUAUUUUGUUUAUAUUUUAGUAAUACAAACAUAAAAUUAGGACAUUUCUCACAAUAAUCGAAGCCUAUUUCAUGAAUUUAUUAAAUAGUGCCUAUGUUGUACCUGAGACUGAAGAAACAAUAUCGAGAAAUUUAAAAUAUUAUUGUGUAGCUUACUGAAAAUGGCUAUACGACAUCUAAAAAUGCUGAAAAACUUGGCAUUAGCCAAUCGGUGGUGAUCGUAGUGGAAAAGAUGCGAAAUUUUGUCCCGAAACAGCAAAGAAAAGGUCGCCCUUGCACCCAAAAGCUAGACUUAUAACGGCGUAAAUGAGGAACAAGAACUUUUAAGGCCAAAGGAUGCUUCUUUUCGCAAAAUACUAUCAAUUUUGUUCUAUAUGGCCAAGUCUGGCCAUCGUACCACCAUUUAAAACAUCUCCACACCAUUUUAAAUCUACCGGCAUGUUUCACGGUUUGCUUGAUAUGAUGUCCUUGAAGCCUUUUUCGCGCUUAGGUCAACGAUACUGCUUCCCAUCUCGAUCCGCACCAUGCAGUGUGAGUCACUGGGGAAGGGAGGCAAGCUAAAAGAGCGUGUUGGCUGGAGAAGUUAUGUAGAUGUAGAUGAGAUAUGUAGAAAAAAUUUAAAAUGUUUAAUUUGAAAAAGCCACUAAGCUACGAACAUAGUAGUGUAGUGUUAUCGAAGCCACGGAACGGCCAGAAAGUAGCAACGGAAAGGUCAUUCCAGAGGAUUUACAUCAAUUUUCUGGUUAAAUAUCACAGGUAAAAAAAUAGACAGGCCUGGAUUUUUGUCGUCGUAGAUCAUUCCUCGAAAUUCAUCUUUGUGCAAUUCCUGGUGAAGGAGGUCUUCUACAAGUUCGGGGUUGCAGAGGUGAUCCCCUCCGACAACGGAAAGAAAUUUCUAUCGAAGAUGUCCUAGACAUGGUCAGUAUCAAAGAAAUCCCGCUGAGAAAGUUUGCUGGACGAUACUGGCUGCAAUAUGGACAUAUUUAAAGAAGGAUCACCGAGACUGGAGUAUGUACCUACCGAUGAUUGAAGCGAUGAUCCAAAACAAACGUUCCUGAAUGGAAACUGCUAUAAGAUGACCAGCAUAUGACCGCAGCAUUCAGUGCAACAACAAACAGGCUCGACAGGCUGGACAAGAAGUCUUCAGGCGCAACUUCACCCUCAGCGAGUUUCGUACAAUGACAAGUUCGCCCGAAAAUUACUAAUGUGCCGAGUCGGACGACCAGCAGGAAUUAUGCCUAAGAGUUUUUUCACGCCAAGGACCUGAAACUGUUGGCGAGAAAUUCAGAAUAAGAAAGGAAGAAGAAGAAUGCACUCACGUGAAAACUGACAAAGCCCCGCAAACCCCCCGAAAGCUGGUAGUUUUCCGGAAAAGAUUUCCUUCGAUGUUUGCAAAUAAUUCACCGUGAAUAAUUGCGUCCAUGUUCGCAAAGUCUUGCAUUCGAAGUUUAUCGAUUUCCCAAAAUACCAAAGAAGUGAGGAAGGGAAAGCGUAUAUGGACAGGGAGCAAUCAACAAGCUUUCCAGAAAGCAAAGUUUUUUACAACCAGAUGAAAGAUACAUAAAUUAUGUGAUCAAAUUGCCGCUACUUCUAAAAAAACAUUAAAAAAACUAGUAUGAAGUCACAAGCUUAAUCACAUUCCCCCCCAUUCCACAAUCCUUAGUGGUUUUUUUCGAAUUUUACAUUUGACAUUUUACAUUUGUUUUACAUCUGUUAUCAACAUCACUUCACACGCCAACACACGCUGGCCCUCCCCUCCCCUAGGGCCACACGCUGCCCGAAGCAGAGUGGAAUUAGAGAAUGUGCAAAAAAUAAGCAAAGCUGCUGGAAGGGGUGAAAUAUCAUUUUUAUACCCGGUACUCAGUAAUUAGGGUAAGUAUAUUGUAUUUGUCGGAAAUAAGGGAUGUUUGUAACGCAUAGAAGGAAACGUUUCCGUCCCCAUAAAGUACAUAAAUACAUUCUUGAUCAGCGUCAAUAGCCGAGUCGAUUGAGCCAUGUCUGUCUGUCCGUCCUAAUGAGCGCCUAGUACUCAGAGACCAUAAAAGCCAGAGCCGCCAAAUUUUGCAUCCAAACUUUUUUGUGUGCUCACACUGAUAUUUAAAAAAUUAGCUCAGCCCCUUCCGCCCCAUGCAAAAGGGCGAAAACCUCUCAAAGCUACAAUUUUGAAGAAAAACUAAAAUUAACGAGAAGGGACGUGUGAGACGCUUCUUACGCGUCACAACUUUUAUACAGGGCACUCAGUACUACAUCUGAAUCUUAGCGGUGUUUUGUCAAAUUUGAAAUUUUUUCUUCAUCUGUCAUCUAUAUCUACAACACUUCUCACACCGACACGCUCCUUUAGCUUGCCGGGCUUCCCUAGACCCACACACUGCAGACUCGCGGCAGAGGCAGAGGCCAGUUAAAUACACUGGUUUCAGUGUGAGCAUACAACAGUCUGGAGCCUAAAUUUGGUGGCUCUAUCUCUUAUAGUCUCUGAGAACUAGCCGACAAACAACAUACCAGUUACCAGGCUUAGAAAUAAUAUAUAUUAUCAGACUAUUUCACAGCCCCAUAUCUUUCAAAAAAGAUUCCUUGAGGGAAAAUUGUGUCGGGUAGUGUUAGUAUUCGAGCGUUGGGUGGUAAGAGCAGGCUUUCAUUCGCUCGUAUACUAGUCUAGUAUCCUAGGCUAGUAUCCAGCACCACAAAAAAUCUUGCCAAAAAUUUGCUAUAUAUUUCUUUUGUCGUGGAACACAGGCAUACGAAUCAGCUGUGUUUGGUAAACAUGUGUACUGCAGUGGCAGUUUGAAAUUCAAACUGAAAAUACAAAAGUAACAAAAAGAGCUGCUACUUAAAUUGAGAAUGCACUUGAAAUUUGCCAAUAAUGCAUGUGGUUUGCCAAACGUUAAUUUUUGCCAAAACAGC
rnacentral:lncRNA from 1 species